AGAGUUUGAUCAUGGCUCAGGAUGAACGCUGGCGGCGUGCCUAACACAUGCAAGUCGAACGGAGAUAGCAAUAUCUCAGUGGCGCACGGGUGAGGAACACGUAGCUGACCUGCCCUGGAGCGGGAAAUAACGUGCCGAAAGGAACGCUAAUGUCCCGUACGCUCCACCGAACUAGAGGCGGUGGAGGAAAGGCGCAAGCCGCUCCGGGAGGGGGCUGCGGCCCAUCAGGUAGUUGGGGGGGUAAUGGCCCACCAAGCCGACGACGGGUCGGGGGUCUGAGAGGAUGACCCCCCACACUGGGACUGAGACACGGCCCAGACUCCUACGGGAGGCAGCAGUGAGGGAUCUUGCACAAGGGGCGCAAGCCUGAUCCAGCAAUGCCGCGUGGAUGAAGAAGGUCUUCGGGUUGUAAACCUCUUUCAGCAGGGAAGAAGCGAAAGUGACGGUACCUGCAGAAGAGGCACCGGCUAGCUACGUGCCAGCCGCCGCGGUAAUUC
rnacentral:rRNA from 1 species